UUCAGAUGUGAAAGACCCGGGGCGUCAACCUCCGGAAUAGCAUUUGUAAACUAGGCAGACUAGAGUACUGUAGAGGGGGGUAGGAAGUUUCAGGUGUAGCGGUGAAAUGCGUAGAGAUCUGAAGGAAUACCGGUGGCGAAGGCGGCCCCCUCGGACAGAUACUGACACUCAGAUGCGAAAGCGUGGGGAGCAAACAGGAUUAGAUACCCUGGUAG
rnacentral:rRNA from 1 species